UCACAACCUCCUUGAUUGAGAUGA
rnacentral:miRNA from 1 species